rnacentral:rRNA from 1 species
CUACGGGACGCAGCAGUGAGGAAUAUUGCACAAUGGGGGAAACCCUGAUGCAGCAACGCCGCGUGGAGGAUGACGCAUUUCGGUGUGUAAACUCCUUUUAUCAGAGAAGAAAAUGACGGUAUCUGAUGAAUAAGCUCCGGCUAACUCCGUGCCAGCAGCCGCGGUAAUACGGAGGGAGCAAGCGUUAUUCGGAAUCACUGGGCGUAAAGGACGCGUAGGCGGGUUUGUAAGUCAGGUGUGAAAUACUAUGGCUCAACCAUAGAACUGCACUUGAAACUGGGGACCUAGAGUAUGGAAGGGGCAGGUGGAAUUAGUGGUGUAGGGGUAAAAUCCGUAGAUAUCACUGGGAAUACCGAAAGCGAAGGCGACCUGCUGGGACAUUACUGACGCUGAGGCGUGAAAGCGUGGGGAGCAAACAGGAUUAGAUACCCGCGUAGUC